rnacentral:rRNA from 1 species
AGCGAACGCUGGCGGCAGGCCUAACACAUGCAAGUCGAACGAACUCUUCGGAGUUAGUGGCGGACGGGUGAGUAACACGUGGGAACGUGCCUUUUGGUUCGGAAUAACUCAGGGAAACUUGUGCUAAUACCGAAUGUGCCCUUCGGGGGAAAGAUUUAUCGCCAUUAGAGCGGCCCGCGUCUGAUUAGCUAGUUGGUGAGGUAACGGCUCACCAAGGCGACGAUCAGUAGCUGGUCUGAGAGGAUGACCAGCCACACUGGGACUGAGACACGGCCCAGACUCCUACGGGGGGGAGCAGGGGGGAAUCUGCCACAAUGGGCGAAGGCCGAACGCACCCAUGCCGGGUAAAAGUUGAAGGUUUUAGGAUUGUAAAAUUUUUUCCCCGGGGGCGAAAAGGACGGAACCCGAGAAAAAAGCCCCGGCUAACUUCGU